UACGUAGGGUGCGAGCGUUGUCCGGAAUUAUUGGGCGUAAAGGGCUCGUAGGCGGUCUGUCGCGUCGGGAGUGAAAACUCAGGGCUUAACCCUGAGCCUGCUUCCGAUACGGGCAGACUAGAGGUAUGCAGGGGAGAACGGAAUUCCUGGUGUAGCGGUGGAAUGCGCAGAUAUCAGGAGGAACACCGGUGGCGAAGGCGGCUCUCUGGGCAUUACCUGACGCUGAGGAGCGAAAGUGUGGGGAGCGAACAGG
rnacentral:rRNA from 1 species